rnacentral:rRNA from 1 species
AUGCACGCUGGCGGCGUGCCUAAUACAUGCAAGUCGAGCGAACAGACGAGGAGCUUGCUCCUCUGACGUUAGCGGCGGACGGGUGAGUAACACGUGGAUAACCUACCUAUAAGACUGGGAUAACUUCGGGAAACCGGAGCUAAUACCGGAUAAUAUAUUGAACCGCAUGGUUCAAUAGUGAAAGACGGUUUUGCUGUCACUUAUAGAUGGAUCCGCGCUGCAUUAGCUAGUUGGUAAGGUAACGGCUUACCAAGGCAACGAUGCGUAGCCGACCUGAGAGGGUGAUCGGCCACACUGGAACUGAGACACGGUCCAGACUCCUACGGGAGGCAGCAGUAGGGAAUCUUCCGCAAUGGGCGAAAGCCUGACGGAGCAACGCCGCGUGAGUGAUGAAGGUCUUCGGAUCGUAAAACUCUGUUAUUAGGGAAGAACAAAUGUGUAAGUAACUAUGCACGUCUUGACGGUACCUAAUCAGAAAGCCACGGCUAACUACGUG